CUGGCGGCAGGCCUAACACAUCCAAGUCGAGCGGCAGCGGGAAGUAGCUUGCUACUUUNCCGNCGAGCGGCGGACGGGUGAGUAAUGUCUGGGAAACUGCCUGAUGGAGGGGGAUAACUACUGGAAACGGUAGCUAAUACCGCAUGACCUCGCAAGAGCAAAGUGGGGGACCUUCGGGCCUCACGCCAUCGGAUGUGCCCAGAUGGGAUUAGCUAGUAGGUGAGGUAAUGGCUCACCUAGGCGACGAUCCCUAGCUGGUCUGAGAGGAUGACCAGCCACACUGGAACUGAGACACGGUCCAGACUCCUACGGGAGGCAGCAGUGGGGAAUAUUGCACAAUGGGCGCAAGCCUGAUGCAGCCAUGCCGCGUGUGUGAAGAAGGCCUUCGGGUUGUAAAGCACUUUCAGCGAGGAGGAAGGGUUCAGUGUUAAUAGCACUGUUCAUUGACGUUACUCGCAGAAGAAGCACCGGCUAAC
rnacentral:rRNA from 1 species